rnacentral:rRNA from 1 species
AGUGAACGCUGGCGGUAGGCCUAACACAUGCAAGUCGAACGGCAGCACAGUAAGAGCUUGCUCUUACGGGUGGCGAGUGGCGGACGGGUGAGGAAUACAUCGGAAUCUACUUUUUCGUGGGGGAUAACGUAGGGAAACUUACGCUAAUACCGCAUACGACCUACCGGUGAAAGCAGGGGAUCUUCGGACCUUGCGCGAUUGAAUGAGCCGAUGUCGGAUUAGCUAGUGGGCGGGGUAAAGGCCCACCAUGGCGGCGAUCCGUAGCUGGUCUGAGAGGAUGGUCAGCCACCCUGGAACUGAGACACGGUCCAGACUCCUACGGGAGGCAGCAGGGGGGAAUAGGGGACAAUGGGCGCAAGCCUGAGCCAGCCAUACCGCGUGGGUGAAGAAGGCCUUCGGGUGGUAAAGCCCUUUUGUUGGGAAAGAAAAGCAGCAGGUUAAUACCCCGCUGUUCUGACGGUACCUAAAGAAUAAGCACCGGCUAACUUCGUG